CUCGUGUCAUAAUUUAGAGGUCCCGCGAGGCCAACUCCCAUUCUCAACUACAGAGGUAUUCGCCCCUCGGGCUAAAUCAUAGUUACUGUCUCCCAUCUCUGCCCUCUUGGCAAAAGCAGCCAGGGCCUCACCUGUCACUGCCAACUUAUUUUGAAUCUCUUUAAACCUCACCGAGAGGCCAACACCCCACCACAAUGGUCGGUGGCAAACAUACCCAACGGGCCAAAUCAUAGGUAGAGCCUCUCUAGUUAGGUUCCCAAGUCACCAAUUUAGCUUAAUUGUUUCACUACUUGGCAUAACAUAGGUCAACCAGUAUCUUGGUGUUAUAGAGCAGGGCUUGACAAAUUUGCUUGGAAUCUAGGAGCCAGUUAGAAAGGUUAG